rnacentral:rRNA from 1 species
GUGGGGAAUCUUCCACAAUGGACGAAAGUCUGAUGGAGCAACGCCGCGUGAGUGAAGAAGGGUUUCGGCUCGUAAAGCUCUGUUGUCGGGGACGAAUGUGCAGUAUUUGAAUAAAGUAUUGCAAUGACGGUACCUGACGAGGAAGCCACGGCUAACUACGUGCCAGCAGCCGCGGUAAUACGUAGGUGGCAAGCGUUGUCCGGAAUUAUUGGGCGUAAAGGGAGCGCAGGCGGGAAGGUAAGUCGGUCUUAAAAGUGCGGGGCUCAACCCCGUGAUGGGAUCGAAACUAUCUUUCUUGAGUGCAGGAGAGGAAAGUGGAAUUCCUAGUGUAGCGGUGAAAUGCGUAGAUAUUAGGAGGAACACCAGUGGCGAAGGCGACUUUCUGGACUGUAACUGACGCUGAGGCUCGAAAGCCAGGGGAGCGAACGGGAUUAGAUACCCUAGUAGUCC